UGGGGAAUAUUGCACAAUGGGGGAAACCCUGAUGCAGCAACGCCGCGUGCGGGAUGACGGCCUUCGGGUUGUAAACCGCUUUCAGCCAUGACGAAGCUUUUGUGACGGUAGUGGCGGAAGAAGCACCGGCUAACUACGUGCCAGCAGCCGCGGUGAUACGUAGGGUGCGAGCGUUGUCCGGAAUUAUUGGGCGUAAAGAGCUUGUAGGCGGUUUGUCGCGUCGAAAGUGUAAACUCAGUGCUUAACGCUGAGCCUGCUUUCGAUACGGGCUGACUAGAGGAAGGUAGGGGAGAAUGGAAUUCCCGGUGGAGCGGUGGAAUGCGCAGAUAUCGGGAGGAACACCAGUGGCGAAGGCGGUUCUCUGGACCUUUCCUGACGCUGAGAAGCGAAAGCGUGGGUAGCAAACAGG
rnacentral:rRNA from 1 species